CAGGCAAUGGAGGAAGGGCAGGCACUGGUACAGACUGGAGGGUGCAAGGAAGGCAGAGCCAAGGUCACCAACUGGGCAUGCAGCUCUUCCAACCCUGGCCAGCUCUUCUUCAGCAUCUCUGGAUCCUGGGCCAACUCUGUGUGAAGUUCCGUGGUGAAGUGUGCCAGCUCUUCUACAGGUCACUGGCAUCUUUAAAGUCAGAGGCUUGGAGACAGUGAGAGACUGACGAAGAUUCCAGUGUGAUACCAAUGUGACCAGUAUUGAUUUCCUCAGAAAGCAAAGCCUGAGGCAGAGGACAUAUAUGCCGUUUCCCAUUGGGGGAGCAAAGCAGAGAAGGACGGAGAGCCAAUGAAAUGGUGUGUUAUCAAGCUGGCCAUCUUUAUGUGCAAUAUGAUUGCUCAAUCUGUGGGACUGUGCCCCAGAGAAGCCCCAUUUCGUCAGUCUCAGGACUUCUCUAGCUGGUGGAAGCAGGAGGAAGCUGGGGCAGGAGACAGGGACACCAAAGAGGAAUGAAUUGAUUCAUUGUCUCCUGUCACUCUUGGGUGGAAGGUUUGCCCCACAGAUAUUUGCCGAUUGACCAGUCAUCAAAUCUAAACUUUUUCUUUUUUUUUUUUUUGA